UACGGGGGGAGCAAGCGUUGUUCGGAUUUACUGGGCGUAAAGGGCGCGUAGGCGGCAAUUCAAGUCAGCUGUGAAAUCUCCGGGCUUAACUCGGAACGGUCAGCUGAUACUGCUUUGCUAGAGUGCAGAAGGGGCAAUCGGAAUUCUUGGUGUAGCGGUGAAAUGCGUAGAUAUCAAGAGGAACACCUGAGGUGAAGACGGGUUGCUGGGCUGACACUGACGCUGAGUGCGCGAAAGCUAGGGUAGCAAACGGG
rnacentral:rRNA from 1 species